ACCCAGACUCCUACGGGAGGCAGCAGUGGGGGAUAUUGCACAAUGGGCGCAAGCCUGAUGCAGCGACGCCGCGUGAGCGAAGAAGUAUUUCGGUAUGUAAAGCUCUAUCAGCAGGGAAGAAAAUGACGGUACCUGACUAAGAAGCCCCGGCUAACUACGUGCCAGCAGCCGCGGUAAUACGUAGGGGGCAAGCGUUAUCCGGAUUUACUGGGUGUAAAGGGAGCGUAGACGGCUGUGCAAGCCAGAUGUGAAAUCCCGGGGCUCAACCCCGGGACUGCAUUUGGAACUGUGUGGCUGGAGUGUCGGAGAGGCAGGCGGAAUUCCUAGUGUAGCGGUGAAAUGCGUAGAUAUUAGGAGGAACACCAGUGGCGAAGGCGGCCUGCUGGACGAUGACUGACGUUGAGGCUCGAAAGCGUGGGGAGCAAACAGGAUUAGAUACCCGUGUAC
rnacentral:rRNA from 1 species